AUGAGGUGUGGAUAGGGGAGAAAUUCCAAUCGAACCCGGAGAUAGCUGGUUCUCCCCGAAAUAGCUUUAGGGCUAGCGUCGAGAGAAGAGUUGCGUGAAGGUAGAGCACUGAAUAUGUGAUGGCCCCAUCUCGGGGUACUGAGCAUAAUCAAACUGCGAAUGUCACGCCAACAUGCUCGGCAGUCAGACAGCGGGUGAUAAGGUCCGUUGUCAAGAGGGAAACAGCCCAGACCAUCAGCUAAGGUCCCAAAAUGUAUGCUAAGUGGAAAAGGAUGUGGAGAUGUACAGACAACUAGGAGGUUGGCUCAGAAGCAGCCAUCCUUUAAAGAGUGCGUAACAGCUCACUAGUCGAAUGACUCUGCGCCGAUAAUUUACCGGGGCUAAGCAUACUACCGAAGCUAUGGAUCCCAAGGGAUGGUAGGGGAGCGUUCCAUGAACGGAGAAGUACGACCGAAAGGACGUGUGGAGAUCAUGGAAGAGAGAAUGCCGGUGUGAGUAGCGGAACGUGGGUGAGAAUCCCACGCACCGAAAACCCAAGGUUUCCAGAGGAAGGUUCGUCCGCUCUGGGUAAGUCGGGACCUAAGGCGAGGCCGAAAGGCGUAGUCGAUGGACAACAGGUAGAGAUUCCUGUACCCGUAUAUAUGUGAAGGAAUGACGGAGAGAGGAAGCUGCAGCCAGCGGCUGGAAGAGCUGGUGCAAGCGAGAUAUCGGGAUGGCAGGCAAAUCCACCAUCCGAAACGAGAAGGCGUGAAGCGUACGGAAAGCUACGGCGAGUACGGAAGGCAGUGGAGGAACUUCCAAGAAAAGUUUCUAACGUUAAGUAUAUAUGGCCCGUACCGAAAAUGGACACACAUGGGUGAGGAGAGAAUCCUAAGGUGAGCGAGAGAACUAUAGCUAAGGAACUCUGCAAAAUGACUCCGUAACUUAGGGAGAAGGAGUGCUCAUAGAGAUAUGAGCCGCAGUGAAACGGCCCAAGCGACUGUUUACCAAAAACACAGCUCUCUGCUAAGCCGCAAGGCGAAGUAUAGGGGGUGACGCCUGCCCGGUGCUGGAAGGUUAAGGGGAGGGGUUAACGCAAGUGAAGCCCUGAACUGAAGCCCCAGUAAACGGCGGCCGUAACUAUAACGGUCCUAAGGUAGCGAAAUUCCUUGUCAGGUAAGUUCUGACCCGCACGAAAGGCGUAACGAUUUGGGCGCUGUCUCAGCUGUAGACUCGGUGA
rnacentral:rRNA from 1 species